rnacentral:rRNA from 1 species
GACGUAGGUGGCGAACGUUAUCCGGAAUUAUUGGGCGUAAAGGGUGCGUAGGUGGCCCGGCAAGUUAUUAGUGGUAAAUCGAGGCUCAACCUCGUGGAAACUAGUAAUACUGUCCGGCUUGAGUGCAGGAGAGGUUAACGGAACUCUAUGUGGAGGGGUAAAAUCCGUUGAUCCAUAGAAGACCACCAGUGGCGAAGGCGGCUUGCCAGAACGCGCUCGACGGUGAGGGAUGAAAGCUGGGGGAGCAAACCGG